rnacentral:lncRNA from 1 species
GGGGUACCGCCUGAAGGCAGCCAGGAGCAUUCCCGCCGGGUCUGCAGAACCGAAAAGGAUGUAACGGUAGCCCGGACAGGAAAUGUUCUGACUACACACAGGCCGGGAGGCACAAACUAGCAAAGUAGUGAACGACUUAGACUUAGAGAGCAUCCAAACGUAUUUACAAAAGGGAAAACUGAGGCCCAGCGUCCCUGCGUGAGCUAAGAGGAGGCGACAGAUGCAGCACUCGAUCGCCUCUGGUCCAGCCGAGACGACGGAGACGACGGUCGCCAGGCCUGGGGAGUGGGGCUCCGGUGACCAGACGGCCACAGGAUGUCCGGGGACCGGCCCGCCCCUUCAGACCCGCGAUGGGACCUCCUCCCUCUCCUUCCCAGUGUGUCUUUUCCUAAACAAGAAAUGGGGUCUGCUCACCCAGUGCCACAGCGACGAGCAGGAGCAGAGGCUUCAUGGUGCUACGAUCUCUCCUACCAAGUCUCUUCUUCCCCUUUCACUUUCAUUUUCCUUCUAAGGCUGGGGUGAGGAACUGGAAAUUCCCCGAUCUGGUCAGGUGAGGGCGUGACUG